GGGAAACCGGGGCUAAUACCGGAUGCUUGUUUGAACCGCAUGGUUCAAACAUAAAAGGUGGCUUCGGCUACCACUUACAGAUGGACCCGCGGCGCAUUAGCUAGUUGGUGAGGUAAUGGCUCACCAAGGCAACGAUGCGUAGCCGACCUGAGAGGGUGAUCGGCCACACUGGGACUGAGACACGGCCCAGACUCCUACGGGAGGCAGCAGUAGGGAAUCUUCCGCAAUGGACGAAAGUCUGACGGAGCAACGCCGCGUGAGUGAUGAAGGUUUUCGGAUCGUAAAGCUCUGUUGUUAGGGAAGAACAAGUACCGUUCGAAUAGGGCGGUACCUUGACGGUACCUAACCAGAAAGCCACGGCUAACUACGUGCCAGCAGCCGCGGUAAUACGUAGGUGGCAAGCGUUGUCCGGAAUUAUUGGGCGUAAAGGGCUCGCAGGCGGUUUCUUAAGUCUGAUGUGAAAGCCCCCGGCUCAACCGGGGAGGGUCAUUGGAAACUGGGGAACUUGAGUGCAGAAGAGGAGAGUGGAAUUCCACGUGUAGCGGUGAAAUGCGUAGAGAUGUGGAGGAACACCAGUGGCGAAGGCGACUCUCUGGUCUGUAACUGACGCUGAGGAGCGAAAGCGUGGGGAGCGAACAGGAUUAGAUACCCUGGUAGUCCACGCCGUAAACGAUGAGUGCUAAGUGUUAGGGGGUUUCCGCCCCUUAGUGCUGCAGCUAACGCAUUAAGCACUCCGCCUGGGGAGUACGGUCGCAAGACUGAAACUCAAAGGAAUUGACGGGG
rnacentral:rRNA from 1 species